rnacentral:rRNA from 1 species
GACGAACGCUGGCGGCGCGCUUAACACAUGCAAGUCGAGCGAUGAAAUCUUGACAGAUCCCUUCGGGGUGAAGAUAAGAUGGAUUAGCGGCGGACGGGUGAGUAACACGUGAGUAACCUGCCUUAGACAUUGGGAUAGCCUCGGGAAACCGGGAUUAAUACCAAAUGAAAUCAUAGGUGCCCAUGCACUAAUGAUCAAAACUCCGGUGGUCUAAGAUGGACUCGCGUCCCAUUAGCUAGUUGGUGAGGUAAUGGCCCACCAAGGCGACGAUGGGUAGCCGGCCUGAGAGGGUGAACGGCCACAUUGGAACUGAGAACCGGUCCAAACUCCUACGGGAGGCAGCAGUGGGGAAUAUUGCACAAUGGAGGGAACUCUGAUGCAGCGACGCCGCGUGAACGAUGAAGGCUUUCGAGUCGUAAAGUUCUUUUAUAUGGGAAGAUAAUGACGGUACCAUAAGAAAAAGCCCCGGCUAACUACGUG